rnacentral:rRNA from 1 species
AUUGAACGCUGGCGGCAGGCUUAACACAUGCAAGUCGAGCGGGGGAAGGUAGCUUGCUACUGGACCUAGCGGCGGACGGGUGAGUAAUGCUUAGGAAUCUGCCUAUUAGUGGGGGACAACAUCUCGAAAGGGAUGCUAAUACCGCAUACGUCCUACGGGAGAAAGCAGGGGAUCUUCGGACCUUGCGCUAAUAGAUGAGCCUAAGUCGGAUUAGCUAGUUGGUGGGGUAAAGGCCUACCAAGGCGACGAUCUGUAGCGGGUCUGAGAGGAUGAUCCGCCACACUGGGACGGAGACAAGGCCCAGACUCCUACGGGGGGCAGCAGUGGGGAGUAUUGGACAAUGGGGGGAACCCUGAUCCAGCCAUGCCGCGUGUGUGAAGAAGGCCUUAUGGUUGUAAAGCACUUUAAGCGAGGAGGAGGCUACUCUGGUUAAUACCUAGGGAUAGUGGACGUUACUCGCAGAAUAAGCACCGGCUAACUCUGUGCCAGCCGCCGCCGUAA